rnacentral:rRNA from 1 species
GAUGAACGCUAGCGGCAGGCUUAAUACAUGCAAGUCGAGGGGCAGCAUGAUUGUAGCAAUACAAUUGAUGGCGACCGGCAAACGGGUGCGGAACACGUACACAACCUUCCAAUAAGUGGGGAAUAGCCCAGAGAAAUUUGGAUUAAUACCCCGUAACAUAACGAUGUGGCAUCACAUUGUUAUUAUAGAUUUUUCGCUUAUUGAUGGGUGUGCGGCUGAUUUGAUAGUUGGCGGGGUAACGGCCCACCAAGUCUACGAUCAGUAGCUGAUGUGAGAGCAUGAUCAGCCACACCGGCACUGAGACACGGGCCCGACUCCUACGGGAGGCAGCAGUAAGGAAUAUUGGACAAUGGACGCAAGUCUGAUCCAGCCAUGCCGCGUGAAGGAUUAAGGUCCUCUGGAUUGUAAACUUCUUUUAUAAGGGACGAAAAAAGGCUUUUCUAAGUCGUCUGACGGUACCUUAUGAAUAAGCGCCGGCUAACUCCGUGCCAGCCGCCGCCGUAACAC